rnacentral:rRNA from 1 species
GUGGGGAAUAUUGGACAAUGGGCGAAAGCCUGAUCCAGCCAUGCCGCGUGUGUGAAGAAGGUCUUCGGAUUGUAAAGCACUUUAAGUUGGGAGGAAGGGCAGUAAGUUAAUACCUUGCUGUUUUGACGUUACCGACAGAAUAAGCACCGGCUAACUUCGUGCCAGCAGCCGCGGUAAUACGAAGGGUGCAAGCGUUAAUCGGAAUUACUGGGCGUAAAGCGCGCGUAGGUGGUUCAGCAAGUUGGAGGUGAAAUCCCCGUGCUCAACCUGGGAACUGCCUCCAAAACUACUGAGCUAGAGUACGGUAGAGGGUAGUGGAAUUUCCUGUGUAGCGGUGAAAUGCGUAGAUAUAGGAAGGAACACCAGUGGCGAAGGCGACUACCUGGACUGAUACUGACACUGAGGUGCGAAAGCGUGGGGAGCAAACAGGAUUAGAUACCCUAGUAGUCC